CAGAAGUUGAAAACCUAGUCUCGCAAGAAUGCCAGUUGGAUGAGUGCAUCAGUGUGCAGAAAUGUUCUAGUUUUAAAGCAGAAUGCAAGAAAGUAUGAGUGUGUUCACUGAAGAAGAAAGUAAUCAAAAGCCGCUUUACCUAACCAAAGAUGACAUCAAAAGCAACAACUAUAUGUUAUGUGGCACUGCAUCCGAAC